CGUGUCGUGAGAUGUUGGGUUAAGUCCCGCAACGAGCGCAACCCUCAUCCUUAGUUGCCAUCACGUUUGGGUGGGCACUCUAGGGAAACUGCCGGUGCUAAGCCGGAGGAAGGCGGGGAUGACGUCAAGUCCUCAUGGCCCUUACGCGUAGGGCUACACACGUGCUACAAUGGCGGUGACAAUGGGAUAAUCCCCAAAAACCGUCUCAGUUCGGAUUGUCGGCUGCAACUCGCCGGCAUGAAGUUGGAAUCGCUAGUAAUCGUGGAUCAGCAUGCCACGGUGAAUACGUUCCCGGGCCUU
rnacentral:rRNA from 1 species